CCUUCGUCUUUCGUUUCUCCAUCCCUUGUCUGAAACCUAUUUUUAUUUGGUUCUUGGAAGUGUCUUCCUUCUUCCUUAUUUUGGUGUUUGAAUCUUGUCUGGACGAACCCUAUAUAGAGAGAGGGAGAGAGAUUAGUUAACGGAAGCUGUAAAGAAUGGCGACGACGACCACAAGUAUUGGCGGCGGCGGCGGCGGUGGUGGGGAGGAUAGAGUUAUGGCUACCGCUCAGCAGAUUGUUAAGAGCCUCAAUACACCCAAGGAGGUUCAAGAAGACAUGCUUUUGAUCUUCUCUAGUUUUGACAAUCGUCUUUCUAAUAUCUCCAGUUUGGUCAACAGUGGAGAUUCGAAGAGGGAAGGGGAUCGAUAUGAAGCUGCUGAGAAGCUGAUUCUUCGUUGGGAUUCUGGUCCUGGAGCUUCUCGGAACUCCCUUAAUUGGGAGGAUUCGCCGGAGGAGGCGGCUGAGUACUUAUCGGCGGUGGAUGAUAUCAUUCAGUGGAUCGAUGACUUGUCAAUUCGUUCGGAUUCUGCUGAGAUCGUCGACCGUGCUGAGAACGCGAUCCAGAUCGCUAUGUCGAGGCUUGAGGAUGAGUUUCGUCAUAUGUUGAUUCGGAACACUGUCCCUCUCGAUGCGGAGCAUCUCUACGGUUCAAUUCGGAAGGUUUCGCUCUCUUUUGCUUCACACGACAGCGAAAAUUCCGAUGAGUUUGAGUCGUUUGCCGAUGUUGACCGUGGUUCUGGAAUCUUCCAUGAGCGUGGUGUCAGUUUGGGCGAUGAUUUGCGAGUCGAUUUGAUCAAUCCUGACGCUGUCGUUGAUUUGAAAGAGAUUGCCGACCGGAUGAUUCGGUCUGGAUACGAAAAAGAGUGUCUCAACGUGUAUACUGGUGUCCGACGCGAUGCUCUUGAUGAAUGCUUGGUGGUUCUUGGAGUUGAGAAGCUAAGUAUUGAGGAUGUCCAGAAAAUUGAUUGGAAGAUCUUGGAUGAGAAGAUGAAGAAAUGGAUCCAAGCUGUUAAGGUCAGUGUCCGAGUCCUUUUGACGGGCGAGAAGCGACUGUGUGACUAUAUCUUCAGCGGGUCCGAUGACUCCGAGGAAGUCUGCUUCAAUGAGACUGCUAAAGGGUGCAUCAGGCAGUUACUGAAUUUUGCAGAGGCCAUUGCCAUGGGGGAAAGGUCAGUGGAGAAGCUAUUUCGUAUUCUAGAUAUGUAUGAAGCUCUGGAAUACGUUUUGCCGGACUUGCAGGCUAUGAUCACUGAUGAAUUUGUGAUUGAGGAGGCGCAAGGAGUGCUUUCUAGGCUGGGAGAGGCCGCUAAAGGUACAUUUGUUGAGUUUGAGAAUGCUGUUCGGAAUGAGACUUCUAAGAAAACAAUGUUAAAUGCUGAGAUUCACCCGCUCACUCGUUAUGUCAUGAAUUACUUAACAUUGGUUGUGGUUUAUAGUAAGACUCUUGAUGCACUUUUAGAAGGCGACGACGAAGAUUUGCAGCACCUAGGGGGCGAUGGUGCUGAAAAUUCGGAGUUGGAAACUAUGUCACCAUUGCCUCGUCGGCUGUAUUCAUUGUUAUCAUCACUGGAGACCAAUCUAGAAAGAAAAUCCAAACUCUAUGGCGAUGAUUCGAUUCAAUAUAUAUUUCUCAUGAACAAUAUACAAUACAUUGUGCAGAAAGCAAAAGAUUCUGAGCUUGGAAAGCUCUUGGGUGACCGCUGGGUUCGUAAGCGCCGAGGCCAGGUUCGCAUAUAUGCGACGAACUAUCUUAGGGCGUCUUGGGGUAAAUUAUUAACUUUCUUGAAGGAAGAAGGUACUGGUGGGAGCUCCAAUAGUGCCCUGAAACUAGCUACUUUGAAGGAAAAGUUCAAAAAUUUCAAUGCUGGCUUUGAGGAAAUCUAUAGAAUUCAGACAGGUUGGAAGGUUGCCGAUGCUCAACUACGAGAGGAGCUCCGAAUUUCAGUAUCGGCAAAAGCGCUACCUGCAUAUCGUGCCUUCUUGGGAAGGCAUGGAAGUCAGUUAGAGAAUACAAGACAUGCUGGGAGGUAUAUAAAGUACACAUCGGAUGACUUGGAGAACUAUUUAUUGGAUUUGUUUGAAGGAUCACCACAAGUUAUACACAACUUAAGAAGAAAAAGUAGUUCAUAGAGGGAUAUUGAACCGACUCUAUUUAUACAGGUGCAUCUAUGACUGACUCUGAGGUUUGUCCCAGAUCUGGCUAAUCUGCUUCACUUCUACUGGUAGUGGCAAGGAUAACGAGAUCUCCUGCCAGCUGUCUUCUCUUCCUAUCAUUGAACUUCGUUCGAGAGAUCUGAUCAAAUCGGAUCUCACUAGGGCGGGCGAAGGGGAAGGAAGGGAUGGGUGAUCCGGGAACAACAACAAUGGGAGAGGUCUCGUAACCCCCUAGUUCAUUUGUUUGGUUUAUACUUAAUUUAGUGCUUUAAAGUACUGAUAUUCUUGUGGGGACUGAAACUUUUGGUUGAUUAUACUAUUUCCUCUGUUGGUUAGCCAGCUUUUAGAGAAGUUUGGAUGGGGAACUGAUUGUUUCCAAGUUCUUGUUGGUGACAAUUUUAGUCUUGUAUGGCUUCUUUUGGUUGCUUCUAUAUUUCUCUCGCUGAGACUUGAGAGAAACAUCCUAUUCAGCAGCUUAUCUAAAUAGUGGGGGAUCAUAUCCUUCCUAUAUUCACG